rnacentral:rRNA from 1 species
UAGGGAAUCUUCGGCAAUGGGGGCAACCCUGACCGAGCAACGCCGCGUGAGUGAAGAAGGUUUUCGGAUCGUAAAGCUCUGUUGUAAGAGAAGAACGUGUGUGAGAGUGGAAAGUUCACACAGUGACGGUAACUUACCAGAAAGGGACGGCUAACUACGUGCCAGCAGCCGCGGUAAUACGUAGGUCCCGAGCGUUGUCCGGAUUUAUUGGGCGUAAAGCGAGCGCAGGCGGUUUAAUAAGUCUGAAGUUAAAGGCAGUGGCUUAACCAUUGUUCGCUUUGGAAACUGUUAAACUUGAGUGCAGAAGGGGAGAGUGGAAUUCCAUGUGUAGCGGUGAAAUGCGUAGAUAUAUGGAGGAACACCGGUGGCGAAAGCGGCUCUCUGGUCUGUAACUGACGCUGAGGCUCGAAAGCGUGGGGAGCAAACAGGAUUAGAUACCCUGGUAGUCCACGCCGUAAACGAUGAGUGCUAGGUGUUGGGUCCUUUCCGGGACUCAGUGCCGCAGCUAACGCAUUAAGCACUCCGCCUGGGGAGUACGACCGCAAGGUUG